ACUUUAAGUAGAAAUUGAUUGUUAACUUAAAUUCCUUUAAACGUAGUAUUAAUUAAUUUAAUUAGUAUUUAUCGAAAACUUAUAAUCUUUAGGAGAUUUAAGUGUUUUUCAUUAGUUCUAAAUUUCAUCAUAUUCGUUGGACUUAAAUAUUUUCCGUAGUUUAGAAGUUAAUUUAGUUUCUAAACAUAAUAUUUUUGGCUAAUAUCAGGGACGUUUUAUAAAACGCAUAUAAAUAGCUUUAAGAAUAUUCGGUUUCUUGUUUAACCUAGUGAUUUGUAUUUUGAGAGAAAGAAAAAAACGAUGAAAAAUUGAUAUUCGCAUUAUUUUAGGAUUACUUUGCCUUUAGCAGUAAUAAUAACAGCUUCACCGGCGGAGAGGAAGUCAGUCAUAUGCGAGAGAAAGUGACGCGCAAGCGUAUCUAUUGUUUUCCCUCCACGUGACUACCACGGCGGGCUAUUCGCAUAGCGUGUUUAGAAGUGUUGAUCACAUAACCAACAGAGCUUUAAAAGCGGGAAAUCAGCGACUGCGUGCGUGAGUUGAGAAUUCAACAGUGAAGACAGAACUCGCUGAAAUUGUCGCCGAAAGGGAGCCUCAGAUACUUUCAGCUGCAUUUAACAGUAUUUCCAAAGCCUAAAGGAUGACAUAAAUAGAAAGUAUGAUGGUGCACUGCAUGCUUGUAGGAAAUCAUGCAGACAGUACCAGACGGUCAUCAUAGUAAGUAUUUAAAAUUGAAUAUUGUUGGUGAAGUUACACCCUCUGAAUUUUAUCAGCUUUAACACAAUAGCAUUUUAGUUUUUAUGAAAAUUCCUUUUAUUCUUAAAAUUUCCACAAAGGUUUUGAUAGGUUUGUAUAUGUUAUUGCUAUUAUACUUGCUUGAAUGCCUCUUUUAAAGGAUUGUAUUAAAAUUUAAAAUGCUGUAUUUGCUCUAUUUUCUACGACCAUACAAAGGGCAAACCCGGGUCAGAUUGGGCGAGUUCAGCAAAGCGCUGAAUACACGAAAUUGUGAAUGGCUGUUAAGGCCAGGCGUGGCGCUUUCUGAGCUCGCCCAAUGUGUCAACGAAAAUAUGGACAUAAUUAACAAUACAGACAUCUUACAAAAUAUCGAACGGAUUACUGACAAAAUACAACCUUUAAGACAGACGCUUAAAAACUUGGACACAACGGACAAGCAGUCAUCGUCGACUGCAAAUGACAUAUACGAUAUUAUGUCAUUUAUCACUAGACAAUACUCUAGAAGUGGCCAUGCAAGCCUCUUUCGGGAUAUAUCAAGUAAUUUCCAUAGUAUUUUUCUUUAAUUAUAAUAAACAGAACCAAAAAGCGAUAACAUUUC